UACGGGGGGAGCAAGCGUUGUUCGGAAUUACUGGGCGUAAAGCGCGUGUAGGCGGUAUCCAAGUCGGGUGUGAAAGCCUUGAGCUCAACUCAAGAAAUGCACUCGGUACUGGGUGACUAGAGGACCGGAGAGGAUAGUGGAAUUCCCAGUGUAGUGGUGAAAUGCGUAGAUAUCUGGAGGAACACCGGUGGCGAAGGCGGCAUCCUGGACCAACACUGACACUGAGGAGCGAAAGCCAGGGGAGCAAACGGG
rnacentral:rRNA from 1 species